UACGGAGGGGGCUAGCGUUGUUCGGAAUUACUGGGCGUAAAGCGCACGUAGGCGGACUGGAAAGUUGGAGGUGAAAUCCCAGGGCUCAACCUUGGAACUGCCUUCAAAACUAUCAGUCUAGAGUUCGAGAGAGGUGAGUGGAAUUCCGAGUGUAGAGGUGAAAUUCGUAGAUAUUCGGAGGAACACCAGUGGCGAAGGCGGCUCACUGGCUCGAUACUGACGCUGAGGUGCGAAAGUGUGGGGAGCAAACAGG
rnacentral:rRNA from 1 species